rnacentral:rRNA from 1 species
AUUCAAAUCCUUUAACGAGGAUCUAGCGGAGGGCAAGUCUGGUGCCAGCAGCCGCGGUAAUUCCAGCUCCGCAGGUGUAUAUCUAUGCUGCUGCGGUUAAAAAGCUCGUAGUUGGAUCUGCGUGCUCGGAACUGGUUGGCUCGCUGAGUUCAAACUGGUCUCCGGCGCUUUAUUGGCUGGUUUUCCCUUGAUGCUCUUAACCGGGUGUCUUGGGUGGCUAGCACGUUUACUUUGAAAAAAUUAGAGUGCUCAAUACAGGCGUAAAGCCUUGAAUAGUGGUGCAUGGAAUAAUAGAAUAGGACCUCGGCUCUAUUUUGUUGGUUUUCGGAACGCGAGGUAAUGAUUAAGAGGGACAGACGGGGGCAUUCGUAUUGCGACGUUAGAGGUGAAAUUCUUGGAUCGUCGCAAGACGGACGACUGCGAAAGCAUUUGCCAAGAAUGUUUUCAUUAAUCAAGAACGAAAGUUAGAGGUUCGAAGGCGAUCAGAUACCGCCCUAGUUCUAACCGUAAACGAUGCCAACUAGCGAUUCGCAGGCGUUAAACAACGACCUUGCGGGCAGCAUCCCGGAAACGAAAGUGUUCGGGUUCCGGGGGAAGUAUGGUUGCAAAGCUGAAACUUAAAGGAAUUGACGGAAGGGCACCACCAGGAGUGGAGCCUGCGGCUUAAUUUGACACAACACGGGAAAACUCACCCGGCCCGGACACCGUAAGGAUUGACAGAUUGAGAGCUCUUUCUUGAUUCGGUGGGUGGUGGUGCAUGGCCGUUCUUAGUUGGUGGAGCGAUUUGUCUGGUUUAUUCCGAUAACGAACGAGACUCUGGCCUACUAAAUAGUGGGCGGAUUCUUUCUGUCCGCAACACUUCUUAGAGGGACAAGCGGUGUUCAGCCGCACGAGAUUGAGCAAUAACAGGUCUGUGAUGCCCUUAGAUGUCCGGGGCUGCACGCGCGCUACACUGAAGGAAUCAGCGUGCUUUCUGACCUUGCCCGAAAGGGCUGGGUAACCCGAUGAAAAUCCUUCGUGAUUGGGAUAGGGACUUGCAAUUAUUUCCCUUGAACGAGGAAUUCCCAGUAAGUGUGGGGUCAUAAGCUCGCGUUGAUUACGUCCCUGCCCUUUGUACACACCGCCCGUCGCUGCCCGGAACUGAGCCGUUUCGAGAAGAACAGGGACCGUCGUUGAAGGGCCUUAACGGGCUUUUCUCUGAUGGAAACUGUUUUA